AGUGAACGCUGGCGGUAGGCCUAACACAUGCAAGUCGAACGGCAGCACAGUAAGAGCUUGCUCUUACGGGUGGCGAGUGGCGGACGGGUGAGGAAUACAUCGGAAUCUACUUUUUCGUGGGGGAUAACGUAGGGAAACUUACGCUAAUACCGCAUACGACCUACGGGUGAAAGCAGGGGAUCUUCGGACCUUGCGCGAUUGAAUGAGCCGAUGUCGGAUUAGCUAGUUGGCGGGGUAAAGGCCCACCAAGGCGACGAUCCGUAGCUGGUCUGAGAGGAUGAACAGGGACAGUGGAAGUGAGAAACGGGACAGACGCCGAGGGGAGGAAGCAGUGGGGAAUAUUGGAGAAUGGGGGCGAGGCUGAUCCAGGCAAACAGAGUGGGUGAAGAAGGCAUUCGGGUUGUAAAGCGCUGAAGUUGGGAGAGAAGAGCAGCAGGUUAAUACCCCGCUGUUCUGACGGUACCGAAAGAAUAAGCACCGGCUAACUUCGUG
rnacentral:rRNA from 1 species